rnacentral:rRNA from 1 species
GAUGAACGCUGGCGGCGUGCCUAAUACAUGCAAGUAGAACGCUGAAGCUUGGUGCUUGCACCGAGCGGAUGAGUUGCGAACGGGUGAGUAACGCGUAGGUAACCUGCCUCUUAGCGGGGGAUAACUAUUGGAAACGAUAGCUAAUACCGCAUAAAAGUCGAUAUCGCAUGAUAUUGAUUUGAAAGGUGCAAAUGCAUCACUAAGAGAUGGACCUGCGUUGUAUUAGCUAGUUGGUGAGGUAACGGCUCACCAAGGCGACGAUACAUAGCCGACCUGAGAGGGUGAUCGGCCACACUGGGACUGAGACACGGCCCAGACUCCUACGGGAGGCAGCAGUAGGGAAUCUUCGGCAAUGGGGGCAACCCUGACCGAGCAACGCCGCGUGAGUGAAGAAGGUUUUCGGAUCGGAAAGCUCUGUUGUAAGAGAAGAACGAGUGUGAGAGUGGAAAGUUCACACUGUGACGGUAACUUACCAGAAAGGGACGGCUAACUACGUG